CGCCCCUGCCGGGGACGCAUCAUCGCCGUGGGGAUCCGCCGCCCGUCUGUGAAUCUUUUAGACGACUCUCGGCAACGGAUAUCUCGGCUCUCGCAUCGAUGAAGAACGUAGCGAAAUGCGAUACUUGGUGUGAAUUGCAGAAUCCCGUGAACCAUC
rnacentral:rRNA from 1 species